GGAAAAGUUUAUUUAUGUUAGGGAAGAUAAGACCUUGUGGGUCAGGCUGCAUUUGAACAAAGCCCUAAAGCACUUGCAAGAUUUGGAAAAGCAGAAGAGGGAAUAGCAUCCUAUGGAUAUGAAACAAGACAAAGAUAGGAAGCAAAAUAACUUGGAUUAUUUACAAAUGGUAAAAUAGAGUUCAACUUGACUGUUGCAUGGAGUAUACACAGAGGAAAGAAAACUUGAGUCAGAAGCAGAAACUUUUACUCAAGGAAUGGAACCCUCUUGCUCAUCUUAGAUCGGGCGUGGAAGCACAGCUCUCGCACUGUCAAAAACACUGCACCAAAUUGUCAAAUGUCAUCAGUCAAUGGUGUCUAUCAAAGGAAGUUCAAGCUAUGGAAAAGCAUAAAAUAAGGGAAAACUCCUCUUUCAUUCAGCAAUUAUUUGUUGAGCUCUCUAAGGGCCAGGCACUGCAGAGCAUGCUGAAGAAACACAGUCAAAUGAGACAUAACACCCUGUUCUGAGACCAAUCACCAUCACAGCUUUUUCUCAGGAUAGAAAAGACAGAUAUGGGUCCUAGAUCCUGCUUUGUCAGAAUGCUGACAAAAAUGUUCCAGGAUAUAGUCGUGGCGUUGGGGAGAGAGUUGAUGGGCUGUCAAUUGCUGAAAGAGCAAUUUUAGCAGAGAGGAAAACCAAGCUGCAAAGGCUACAGAUCCAGUGCGGGGAGAAAGGAAAGCGGCCGCAGUGGACAAGAUUGUUCCCAAAGGACCUUGUGUGUUGUAAAGGACACCAGACUCUGAAUCAAUCAUUCUAUUUCAACCUUGAGUGUGACCUUUCAGAUGCAUCCUUAUGCAAAAAUAAUUUUUGAGAAGCAAUAUGUCAGAAACAUCAUUGGAAUUGAUCUAGAAGACCUGGAUAUAGCCCCAAAUACACUCCUUAGCCAGUCA